rnacentral:misc_RNA from 1 species
GAAAUGCGAUAAGUAAUGUGAAUUGCAGAAUUCAGUGAAUCAUCGAAUCUUUGAACGCACAUUGCGCCCGCCAGUAUUCUGGCGGGCAUGCCUGUCCGAGCGUCAUUUCAGCCAUCAAGCCCCCGGGCUUGUGUUGGGGACCUGCGGCUGCCCGCAGGCCCUGAAAACCAGUGGCGGGCUCGCUGUCACACCGAGCGUAGUAGCAAUCACCUCGCUCAGGGCGUGCUGCGGGUUCCGGCCGUUAAACAGCCUUACAAAACCCAAGGUUGACCUCGGAUCAGGUAGGAAGACCCGCUGAACUUAAGC